rnacentral:rRNA from 1 species
UAUUGGACAACGGGCGCAAGCCUGAUCCAGCAAUUCCGCGUGGGUGAAGAAGGUCUUCGGAUUGUAAAGCCCUUUCGACAGGGACGAUGAUGACGGUACCUGUAGAAGAAGCCCCGGCUAACUUCGUGCCAGCAGCCGCGGUAAUACGAAGGGGGCUAGCGUUGCUCGGAAUGACUGGGCGUAAAGGGCGCGUAGGCGGCACAACUAGUCAGGCGUGAAAUUCCUGGGCUUAACCUGGGGGCUGCGUUUGAUACGGUUGGGCUAGAGGAUGGAAGAGGCUCGUGGAAUUCCCAGUGUAGAGGUGAAAUUCGUAGAUAUUGGGAAGAACACCGGUGGCGAAGGCGGCGAGCUGUCCAUUACUGACGCUGAGGCGCGAAA